AUUGUUCUAGUAUAAUAGUAUAUUUGAUUUCCAAUCAAAAGGAUAAUGAAUAAUA
rnacentral:tRNA from 1 species